rnacentral:rRNA from 1 species
GAUGAACGCUGGCGGCGUGCUUAACACAUGCAAGUCGAACGGAAAGGCCCAAGCUUGCUUGGGUACUCGAGUGGCGAACAGGUGAGUAACACGUGGGUGAUCCGCCCUGCACUUCGGGAUAAGCCUGGGAAACUGGGUCUAAUACCGGAUAGGACCACAUUUUGGAGGGUGUGGUGGAAAGUUUUUCGGUGUGGGGUGAGCUCGCGGCCUAUCAGCUUGUUGGUGGGGUAAUGGCCUACCAAGGCGUCGCCGGGUAGCCGGCCUUAGCGGGGGUACUGCCACAUUGUGCCGGCGCUACGGCCCAGCCGCCUACGGGAGGCAGCAGUGGGGAAUAUUACACAAUAGCCGCCAGCCUGCUGCAACGAGGCCGCGUGGGUGAGGACGGCCUUCGUGUUGUGAACUCCUUUCGCUAGGGACGAAGCGUUAUGUGACGGUACCUGGAGAAGAAGCACCGGCUAACUACGUG